GACGAACGCUGGCGGUGUGCUUAACACAUGCAAGUCGAACGGAAAGGCCCUGCUGUUGUGGGGUGCUCGAGUGGCGAACGGGUGAGUAACACGUGAGUAACCUGCCCUUGACUUUGGGAUAACUUCAGGAAACUGGGGCUAAUACCGGAUAGGAGCUCCUGCUGCAUGGUGGGGGUUGGAAAGUUUCGGCGGUUGGGGAUGGACUCGCGGCUUAUCAGCUUGUUGGUGGGGUAGUGGCUUACCAAGGCUUUGACGGGUAGCCGGCCUGAGAGGGUGACCGGCCACAUUGGGACUGAGGUACGGCCCAGACUCCUACGGGAGGCAGCAGUGGGGAAUAUUGCACAAUGGGCGGAAGCCUGAUGCAGCAACGCCGCGUGCGGGAUGACGGCCUUCGGGUUGUAAACCGCUUUCGCCUGUGACGAAGCGUGAGUGACGGUAAUGGGUAAAGAAGCACCGGCUAACUACGUG
rnacentral:rRNA from 1 species